rnacentral:rRNA from 1 species
AGAGUUUGAUCCUGGCUCAGAGCGAACGUUAGCGGCAGGCCUAACACAUGCAAGUCGCACGAGAAUCCGGCUUCGGCCGGUAGUAAAGUGGCGGACGGGUGAGUAACACGUGGAUAAUCUGCCCUUCGGCGGGGGACAACAGUCCGAAAGGAUUGCUAAUACCGCAUACGUCAGCGAGCUCUUCGGAGCUUGUUGGGAAAGAUGGCCUCUUCAUGAAAGCUAUCACCGAAGGAUGAGUCCGCGGCCCAUCAGCUAGUUGGCGGUGUAAUAGACCACCAAGGCUAAGACGGGUAGCUGGUCUGAGAGGAUGAUCAGCCACACUGGAACUGAGACACGGUCCAGACUCCUACGGGAGGCAGCAGUGAGGAAUAUUGGGCAAUGGGCGCAAGCUUGACCCAGCCAUGCCGCGUGAGUGAUGAAGGCCUUCGGGUCGUAAAGCUCUGUGGGGAGGGAAGAAACCGCUUGCCGAUAAUACCGGCGAGUCUUGACGGUACCUCCUUAGCAAGCACCGGCUAACUCCGUGCCAGCAGCCGCGGUAAUACGGAGGGUGC